rnacentral:rRNA from 1 species
AUUGAACGCUGGCGGCAGGCCUAACACAUGCAAGUCGAGCGGAUGACGGGAGCUUGCUCCUUGAUUCAGCGGCGGACGGGUGAGUAAUGCCUAGGAAACUGCCUGGUAGUGGGGGACAACGUUUCGAAAGGAACGCUAAUACCGCAUACGUCCUACGGGAGAAAGCAGGGGACCUUCGGGCCUUGCGCUAUCAGAUGAGCCUAGGUCGGAUUAGCUAGUAGGUGAGGUAAUGGCUCACCUAGGCGACGAUCCGUAACUGGUCUGAGAGGAUGAUCAGUCACACGGGAACGGAGACACGGUCCAGACUCCUACGGGAGGCAGCAGUGGGGAAUAUUGGACAAUGGGCGAAAGCCUGAUCCAGCCAUGCCGCGUGUGUGAAGAAGGUCUUCGGAUUGUAAAGCACUUUAAGUUGGGAGGAAGGGUUGUACGUUAAUACCGUGCAAUUUUGACGUUACCGACAGAAUAAGCACCGGCUAACUCUGUGCCAGCCGCCGCGGUAA